UACAGAGGGGCAAGCGUUUAUUCGGAAUUAUUGGGCGUAAAGGGCGCGUAGGCGGCCUGGCAAGUGACGGGUGAAAGCCCUCGGCUUAACCGAGGAACUGCCUGUCAGACUGUUAGGCUUGAGACCGGGAGAGGUGAGUGGAAUUCCCAGUGUAGCGGUGAAAUGCGUAGAUAUUGGGAGGAACACCAGUGGCGAAGGCGGCUCACUGGACCGGUACUGACGCUGAGGCGCGAAAGCGUGGGGAGCAACAGGG
rnacentral:rRNA from 1 species